AUUGAACGCUGGCGGCAGGCCUAACACAUGCAAGUCGAGCGGAUGAAGGGAGCUUGCUCCUGGAUUCAGCGGCGGACGGGUGAGUAAUGCCUAGGAAUCUGCCUGGUAGUGGGGGAUAACGUCCGGAAACGGGCGCUAAUACCGCAUACGUCCUGAUGGAGAAAGUGGGGGAUCUUCGGACCUCACGCUAUCAGAUGAGCCUAGGUCGGAUUAGCUAGUUGGUGGGGUAAAGGCCUACCUAGGCGACGAUCCGUAACUGGUCUGAGAGGAUGAUCAGUCACACUGGAACUGAGACACGGACCAGACUCCUACGGGAGGCCGCAGUGGGGAAUAUUGGACAAUAGGCGAAAGCCUGAUCCAGCCAUGCCGCGUGUGUGAAGAAGGUCUUCGGAUUGUAAAGCACUUUAAGUUGGGAGGAAGGGCAGUAAGUUAAUACCUUGCUGUUUUGACGUUACCAACAGAAUAAGCACCGGCUAACUUCGUG
rnacentral:rRNA from 1 species